AUACUUACCUGGCAGGGGAGAUACCGCGAUCAAGAAGGCGCUUCACCCAGGGCGAGCCUCAGCCCUUGCAUUUUAGCUGUGGUGACCCCUGCGAUUUCCUCAAAUGUGGGAAUCGCGAAUGCAUAAUUUCUGGUAGUGGGACAGUGGCUGCCUA
ensembl:snRNA U1 U1 spliceosomal RNA